GGCAACCGCUGCACCCACCGCUGGCCCCGGUCAGCCUGGCCAACAACAGCAGCUGUGGCGGCGGAGAUUUGGGUAGUCCACCGCUGCUUAACAAAGCGUCGGGUAGCACCGAUCGCGCUGAGUUUAACGUGCCCGACGGCAGUGCCAACGGCGGACACAAUAGUGCUGCGCAGGAGCUUAACAUGCCCGACGGCAGUGCGGACAGCGGAGGCCACAGCGCGGUGCAGGAGCCGCGCAAAUAUGAGGAAGCGGUGGCGAGUCCGCAAGCUGACAAGUGGAAGAGUUCGAUGGAUGACGAGAUCCUGUCGCAGCUCUCCAACAAAACAUGGGAGUCAGUGGUGCCUUGAUGGACAGAGGCAGGUUCGAUGCCUUGAUUGUGGCCUGCAAGCAAGUCAGUGCUUCAUGAGUGUGUAGUGACACGUUGUGCUGCUGUUAGGGGCCUUACCCGGCAGAACCUCUCAUUGAAGUUGUGUUGGACAACUUCAUCCAUGACUUUAACAACCUCUGCAACAAAAUCCCGGUCCCAGGCACCCCGCUGCUUGCAUCCCUUGGCGAGUAUGUCAUCCUUGCUCUUCUUGCUUGAUUUUAAGUUUGCACUUCUCUCUCCUGGGAAGCUGUGGGGUUCCAAGGGAAGAAGGAACAAGGCAAUUCCCAGGUUGUCAUGCUUAUGCUUUUAAGGGCCACAACAGCAGCUUUAAACCAGCCAUCUUGGCAAAAAAGAAAAGAAAAUUCAGUGCAUUUCAGUUAGAAAGGGCUAAGCAGAUUGAAGUCGGCUGCUGGCUGGGAAUCACAUUUAAAUGCCAUUGUUGACGGCAGGUCAACGAACACACCUGUUCCCGUGGGAAGCUCCUUCACACCGAAUGUGUCAUAGAAUAUGACAUGUUGCAGAAGACAAUCCUCUGUCAGGNNNNNNNNNNNNNNNNNNNNNNNNNNNNNNNNNNNNNNNNNNNNNNNNNNNNNNNNNNNNNNNNNNNNNNNNNNNNNNNNNNNNNNNNNNNNACAUUCAUCUGCAUAAUAUUGGACGUCGCAAGUUUUAACCAUGCAUAGUAGCUGUCAAUGUAUUGCAGCAACUUCUCACUGCGUCCAGCGAUCAUCUCGUUAGGAGCCACGGCAUCGAGGCCAAAAAGCUCUGUGCCAUUAUUACCACCAUGAGGCUGGACGCACUGAUGCGUGAUGACGUGAUUAUAUGCAUGAGACGUGCUAUGAUACUUGCGUCCGCAGGACACACACGUAAUUUCAAAUUGCGACAACGCAUAUAGUCGACCGCGGCAGAGGUAACGUGGAUAUGUUUUAACUGAAGGGGCCAUCUUUAUUAGCUAUUAUUACAUCUUCAACAGAAAGCAGGACUUGCGAACAGAUGCUGUGUGCAUUUGUAUGUUCUGAAGGGCCCUACAGCCCUUCAUUCUGGGACAAGCGCAGACUUAACGAAACCUUACGUUUGGAGUAUUUGUACAGUCAUAAGUAAUUAAAACAAUCCCUGGCAUGGCGAUAUUACAAGGCUUUUGCAUGCUAAGUGGCCAUUUCAGCCGAACUCCGUCGAUAUGCUCUGAAGGCCCCUCAGCCCUUCGUUAUGAAAUGGGCACGAAUGAGCACGAAACGACAACUAGAUGAAGGGAUUCCCGGGUAUCGAAGGGAAGCUGGUUCCCAGAGUGGGGAGGCCACGCCGUGGGCAGCUUAUCAUGGCGUCACCCCUGACGUCAGCCACCUGCACACCUUUGGCUGCCUGGCCUACGUCCGCAUCCCAGCCAGCCAGCAGGAUAAGCUCGGUCCCCGCGCGAAGGCGGGAACCUACCUUGGACCGGAGCGCAACACGGCCGCCCACUGUGUCCUUGUUGACGGCAAGGUGACUGUUAGCAGUGACGUCACCUUCGAUGAUGACCACCGCGGCCCGGCAUCUCAACGGGCAGGCACCCCCUUCGGCACCAGCCCCGCCCGUCCUGGCGGCAGCGACCCCGUCGGCGGCUCAACACAGCCUGCCACACCGCCAACUCAAGUGGAUGCCCUGCCCCCAGUGAACCCAGCGCCCCCCUCCGCCCUAACACUCGCAGUCAACGGCAACCGCUGCACCCACCGCUGGCCCCGGUCAGCCUGGCCAACAACAGCAGCUGUGGCGGCGGAGAUUUGGGUAGUCCACCGCUGCUUAACAAAGCGUCGGGUAGCACCGAUCGCGCUGAGUUUAACGUGCCCGACGGCAGUGCCAACGGCGGACACAAUAGUGCUGCGCAGGAGCUUAACAUGCCCGACGGCAGUGCGGACAGCGGAGGCCACAGCGCGGUGCAGGAGCCGCGCAAAUAUGAGGAAGCGGUGGCGAGUCCGCAAGCUGACAAGUGGAAGAGUUCGAUGGAUGACGAGAUCCUGUCGCAGCUCUCCAACAAAACAUGGGAGUCAGUGGUGCCUUGAUGGACAGAGGCAGGUUCGAUGCCUUGAUUGUGGCCUGCAAGCAAGUCAGUGCUUCAUGAGUGUGUAGUGACACGUUGUGCUGCUGUUAGGGGCCUUACCCGGCAGAACCUCUCAUUGAAGUUGUGUUGGACAACUUCAUCCAUGACUUUAACAACCUCUGCAACAAAAUCCCGGUCCCAGGCACCCCGCUGCUUGCAUCCCUUGGCGAGUAUGUCAUCCUUGCUCUUCUUGCUUGAUUUUAAGUUUGCACUUCUCUCUCCUGGGAAGCUGUGGGGUUCCAAGGGAAGAAGGAACAAGGCAAUUCCCAGGUUGUCAUGCUUAUGCUUUUAAGGGCCACAACAGCAGCUUUAAACCAGCCAUCUUGGCAAAAAAGAAAAGAAAAUUCAGUGCAUUUCAGUUAGAAAGGGCUAAGCAGAUUGAAGUCGGCUGCUGGCUGGGAAUCACAUUUAAAUGCCAUUGUUGACGGCAGGUCAACGAACACACCUGUUCCCGUGGGAAGCUCCUUCACACCGAAUGUGUCAUAGAAUAUGACAUGUUGCAGAAGACAAUCCUCUGUCAGGGCACCCGCAAGGGCUUUUGAUACUUCGUCGCCAUUGGAGGUGAGGACCGAGUUCAUUAUCAGGGUCCGCUGGGCUGCAAAGUGCUGGAGGUAACCGACAGGCUUCAACGUGACAUUGGCCCGUCUAAUUAGAAGUGCGGAAUGCUGCACCGCCGACAUUCUGAGCAAGCUCGCGGUCAAAGGAAAGUCGAUGACUUUGGCUGUCGUCUGUUUGGUCAAAGAGUAUAAGUAUAUUAAGUAAGAAUUACAUGUAUUUGGCACAGUUAAG
rnacentral:lncRNA from 1 species